rnacentral:rRNA from 1 species
CACGAAGUUAGCCGGUGCUUAUUCUUUGGGUACCGUCAUCCCAACCAGGUAUUAGCCGGCUGGAUUUCUUUCCCAACAAAAGGGCUUUACAACCCGAAGGCCUUCUUCACCCACGCGGUAUGGCUGGAUCAGGCUUGCGCCCAUUGUCCAAUAUUCCCCA